CUACGGGUUGCUGCAGCCGAGAAUCUUCCGCAAUGGGCGAAAGCCUGACGGAGCGACGCCGCGUGGAGGACGAAGGUCUUCGGAUUGUAAACUCCUGUCGCCUGGGAAGAAAGUCUCCGGGAUGAAUAAUCUCGGAGGCGUGACGGUACCAGGAAAGGAAGCCACGGCUAACUCUGUGCCAGCAGCCGCGGUAAUACAGAGGUGGCAGGCGUUGUUCGGAUUCAUUGGGCGUAAAGGGUCCGUAGGCGGACUAGAAAGUCGGAUGUGAAAUCCCACGGCUUAACCGUGGAACUGCAUUCGAAACUUCUAGGCUCGAGCCGAGGAGGGGUGAAGGGAAUUCCCGGUGUAAGGGUGAAAUCUGCAGAGAUCAGGAGGAACACCAGUCGCGAAGGCGCUUCACCAGACUCGUGCUGACGCUCAGGGACGAAAGCCAGGGGAGCAAACGGGAUUAGAUACCCGUGUAGUC
rnacentral:rRNA from 1 species